GGGAAGUUAGUCAAGUGGUUACGACGGUGCACUUAAGAUGCCCUCACCGCAAGGUGGCGUGGGUUCGAACCCCACACUUCCCA